CUUAUGCGUUGUUGGGUAGGGGAGCGUUCUGUAAGCCUGUGAAGGUGGCCUGUGAGGGUUGCUGGAGGUAUCAGAAGUGCGAAUGCUGACAUAAGUAACGAUAAAGCGGGUGAAAAGCCCGCUCGCCGGAAGACCAAGGGUUCCUGUCCAACGUUAAUCGGGGCAGGGUGAGUCGACCCCUAAGGCGAGGCCGAAAGGCGUAGUCGAUGGGAAACGGGUUAAUAUUCCCGUACUUGGUGUUACUGCGAAGGGGGGACGGAGAAGGCUAUGUUGGCCGGGCGACGGUUGUCCCGGUUUAAGCGUGUAGGCUGGUUUUCCAGGCAAAUCCGGAAAAUCAAGGCUGAGGCGUGACGACGAGGCACUACGGUGCUGAAGCAACAAAUGCCCUGCUUCCAGGAAAAGCCUCUAAGCAUCAGGUAACAUCAAAUCGUACCCCAAACCGACACAGGUGGUCAGGUAGAGAAUACCAAGGCGCUUGAGAGAACUCGGGUGAAGGAACUAGGCAAAAUGGUGCCGUAACUUCGGGAGAAGGCACGCUGACACGUAGGUGAAGUGAUUUACUCAUGGAGCUGAAGUCAGUCGAAGAUACCAGCUGGCUGCAACUGUUUAUUAAAAACACAGCACUGUGCAAACACGAAAGUGGACGUAUACGGUGUGACGCCUGCCCGGUGCCGGAAGGUUAAUUGAUGGGGUCAGCGCAAGCGAAGCUCCUGAUCGAAGCCCCGGUAAACGGCGGCCGUAACUAUAACGGUCCUAAGGUAGCGAAAUUCCUUGUCGGGUAAGUUCCGACCUGCACGAAUGGCGUAAUGAUGGCCAGGCUGUCUCCACCCGAGACUCAGUGAAAUUGAACUCGCUGUGAAGAUGCAGUGUACCCGCGGCAAGACGGAAAGACCCCGUGAACCUUUACUAUAGCUUGACACUGAACAUUGAGCCUUGAUGUGUAG
rnacentral:rRNA from 2 species